rnacentral:rRNA from 1 species
UACGAAGGGGGGCUAGCGUUGCUCGGAAUCACUGGGCGUAAAGGGUGCGUAGGCGGGUCUUUAAGUCAGGGGGUGAAAUCCUGGAGCUCAACUCCAGAACUGCCUUUGAUACUGAAGAUCUUGAGUUCGGGAGAGGUGAGUGGAACUGCGAGUGUAGAGGUGAAAUUCGUAGAUAUUCGCAAGAACACCAGUGGCGAAGGCGGCUCACUGGCCCGAUACUGACGCUGAGGCACGAAAGCGUGGGGAGCAAACAGGG